ensembl:lncRNA
UAUUUCCAAAUAAAGUGAUAUUUACAGUUACUGGGAGUUAGAACUUGAACAUAUCUUUUGGGGAAUACAAUUCAACCCACAACAGAUGGGGAUAUAGCUAUGGAGGGUAAGGAAGAUGGGGCGUACCAGGGAUGGAGCACUGGGAUGUCAGAGAAUAGCAACCUAUGAAGACUCGAAGGAUGUAGGGGAGUGAGCCAUUUUGGGGAAUGGGAACAAGAAGUUCAAGGCCCCAAGGCAGGACCUUGCUCGGUGUAUUUGAGAUCAAGAAGGCCAGUGUGGCUGAAGUAAAAGGAGAUGGCAUCACAGAGGUAGCAUGACCAGGUUCCAUGGAGCCAUCAUAAUGGGAUUUGGGCUUUUCUCUUGAGAGGGUUUUGAGUAGAGAAGUGACAUGAGCUCACCUACUAGGCAGUUGUCCAUCUACAGGGCAUCUUCGUGCAAACUGAAAAGGAUGCCCUUUCUUCCAAAUGGCUGCAACCUUGAAGCAAAGCACACAGCUCAGUGAGUGGAGCAGGGCUGGAUUUCAUCCCUUGCUCAGCUGGGUGCUCCAGGGAGGAGAUUAUUACAGUACAGUAGGUGGAAUAUGCGUUUCAAGUAUCCCCUGGAAUUACAUGAGGCUUGGUUCCUUGUUAAAGGAAAGCAGGUUACGAAGAUAUGGGGUUGGAGACAGGAUGCCUUCUCAGUAGCCAUGAAGUUGACCCUUGCUUGACUCAUAAAGAAAACUGGACCUGAGACUGCUUGCUUAAUCUCAAAGCCCUUGGGCUUCAUUCCCUGUUUGUCUGCUCAGAUGUCCCCUCUUACACCAAAUUUCUACCAAGCUACCUGUUCCUUGGAGAUUCUGCUCAGAGGCCUGGGUCUCUCACCACAGAUGUCAAUAUGUGUUGGGCUGGUAGCCACCUCUCCUGGGUUCUGCCGCUAAACGUACUCCAGGUGGCCCAGGCUUCUCAAAUAUCACAGUUGAGUAAGUCUGGAUAGUAUGAUGCAAUAAUCGCUGCCUCAUGUUUGCUCCCUGUGGGGUGUUCUGUGGUUUAUGUGGCAUUGUCCUCCCUGCCUCUGCCACAGAGCCUGGGUUUGAAUAAUUGCCUGUAUCCUGGCUGGCACUGGGCUUAAUGAUUGCCUCUUUAGUCCCUUCAUGCAUGUCUACAUCCUUUCCUUUCAGCAAACAGGUGAAUGUCUCUAGAGUGCAUCUAGGACCAUCUUUCAGCAUCCUAUUGUUGGAAAUGAGGUUGGGGACACCUGCUGAGACACAAAAGCAGCUGAAGUCAACCCAACCAUGGAUCGUGGCAGCUCAUGCUCACAAGAGCAUUUGGGGUAGGAAUUGAGGCUCCAUUCCGUGCAUUGGGAAGGAUUGAGGUAGAGGCCCCUCACACAUGGACCUACAGGAGAAGGAUAAGAGGAGCUCCAUUUUGCCUUCAAGGCUCAAGUCUACCUGGUGGACGCCACUCUCCAAUGGGUGAUUUAAUUAAAGGGAUCACACACACCAUUUUGGUGAGGGAGAUGUGCUCUCUCCAGCAAAGAGGCAACAGAACUUCUCUGGUGCAAGGGCAGGGUCAUAUCCAUCCAUACUCCUACUCAAUUACAAGAACAAACACAAUGAUCGUGCUGCCAGCAGUCAUAAUAAUAAAUAGCAAACCUGUAGUGCUAACUCUGUGCCCAACCCUUCUGAAGCGC